GGAGCGGCAGACGGGUGAGUAACGCGUGGGAACGUACCUUUUGCUACGGAAUAACUCAGGGAAACUUGUGCUAAUACCGUAUGUGCCCUUCGGGGGAAAGAUUUAUCGGCAAAGGAUCGGCCCGCGUUGGAUUAGCUAGUUGGUGAGGUAAAGGCUCACCAAGGCGACGAUCCAUAGCUGGUCUGAGAGGAUGAUCAGCCACACUGGGACUGAGACACGGCCCAGACUCCUACGGGAGGCAGCAGUGGGGAAUAUUGGACAAUGGGCGCAAGCCUGAUCCAGCCAUGCCGCGUGAGUGAUGAAGGCCCUAGGGUUGUAAAGCUCUUUCACCGGUGAAGAUAAUGACGGUAACCGGAGAAGAAGCCCCGGCUAACUUCGUGCCAGCAGCCGCGGUAAUACGAAGGGGGCUAGCGUUGUUCGGAUUUACUGGGCGUAAAGCGCACGUAGGCGGACUUUUAAGUCAGGGGUGAAAUCCCGGGGCUCAACCCCGGAACUGCCUUUGAUACUGGAAGUCUUGAGUAUGGUAGAGGUGAGUGGAAUUCCGAGUGUAGAGGUGAAAUUCGUAGAUAUUCGGAGGAACACCAGUGGCGAAGGCGGCUCACUGGACCAUUACUGACGCU
rnacentral:rRNA from 1 species